GGUUGACAAACACAACACGUAUCCAAGCAGUUAUUUAAUUUUUAGUAAAUUGAGUAUUAUAUGGUACAACAUUGCGGUUACGAUAUUAAUUUAUAAGUUAUUGUGCUAUGGUGGGGUGUUGUAUUUUAGGCUGCAAAAGCCGCAGUGAGCGGAAAAUCGAAGGAAUUACAUUUCAUUAGUUAUUUGUGUGCCAAAAUUUGGGGAAAUCUGUUUAGUAGUAUUUGCUGAAAGAUUACAACAAACACACACUCACGAACUUUCACAUCUUUAGUAUCAAAAAAGAUCAGCUGAAAGUUUAAAAGCCUGUGCUCCUACCAUAG